CAGAUCAGUGGAACCUGGGAGAGCCAUGGGCUGUUUCUGGCUCUGUUAAAGGGCUGUGGGGUUUGCCUUGCAGCAGAUUUUAAUAUAUGUCUCAAUUUUGUGCUGUCACAUCAAUGACAACCCAAUUUUGGGAUGGCACUCCCCACUGUUGCACUUCCAUAGGUGUCAAUGGGUGGCUGUGUAAAAAUUCCAGCAGUGGGACCUGAGAGGGGCCUUUGAGCAGCUGAACUGGCCCAGUGGGUUCUGAAGGCUUUGAGCUGGGUGGUGUUUGGAGAGCUGUGCUGGAGAGCUGCUUCCCGUGGAUGUUGCUCAGUGUGCAGCAGCUUGGGAUGCACCAUGGAAUCCUGGAAUGGUUUGGGCUGGAAGGGACCCUAAAGAUCAUCCAGUUCCCUCCUGUCAUGGGCAGGGACACCUUCCCCUAUCCCAGGUUGCUCCAAGCCCUGUCCAACCUGGCCUUCCAGAGCUCAUUCUUCCACCUUGUCCCUUCCCUUAGCGUGGGAAUUUCGACUUCAUAUUCUGGAGUGUUUUUAUCACGAAAUGUACAGCUGAAAGAUGGAAAUACAAACAUGUAGCAAGCUCAAGAAGAGCAAGGCCUGAGGAAUGUCUGGAUGAGCCUGCAUUGUUGUCUCUAAGCCGUGAUUUUACUGCCCAGAAACCAGCUGAGCUCCCGGAUUGCAGCUCAGCACGUGGGGUGUCAGAAAGGCUGACUUCAAACUCCACUGUCUGUGUGUGUGUGGAAAUUGGUUCCUUCUGGGAAAGUUUCUGUGUGAAAGAGGCAUUUGAGCUUUAAUAAUUGUGCUUUAAUACACCUGAGGCAUCCAGGGCACCUCUUGGAGUGCACAGGUUGGGUUUGGCCCUCCAUUGUGCCAUGAAAAUGAAGUGCAUGGAAAGCUGAAGGAUUCGGUGUUGGAUGCCUCGUGGAGAGGGAUGAAGACGUCUCAAGCCCAACAGACCUGAGCCCCGAACAUUUCCUCGAUCAGAAAAACACAAUCCCAUUUAAGGACUUCACCAUGACAUGGGGAAAAGCUCCCUUCAACUGAGACUCUCUGCUGAGUUUUUAUUGCAUUUCAUGGGAAGACUGCAGUUAGUUUUCAGCUGGGGCUCAAACACCUGCUCUGUGAAAACUCAGGAAAAUGAGGGAAAUGAGGAAAUGAGGGAAGUUCCACCCCGAAGAUGGAUGAUGAGGCUGCUGGUUAACUGCAGAUGUGUUGAGAAGGAGGAGAGAAGCAAGGAAUUCCACUUCUGGCAUAAAGCUCACCCUACAGCUUUGGAAACUCCAUUUACACCCCCAAGGUGAUGCACACCCAGAGGAGGAGGAGGCCUUUUGGGGGCUGCAUUUGUGCUCAUGGACAUCAGUGCUGGUGAUCCCUCUUGCUGAGGGUCCCUAAGAAUUCACCAGGAUGAAUCCAGGUGCUGCUUUGGGAUACCCAGAGCAACCAAAGCCAAGGGCUGAGGUGGAAUUGUUUGUAUUCCAGAGCCAUUUCCUCGGUGACACCUGAGGAACCUGCAGAGAGCAGCUCAAAGAAGUUUGGGAAAGAAGGAAAGGGCACAGCAGCUGUUUUCCCAAAGCAGGGCCAGCAGGUGCCACAGCUCUGCACAAGGGAGGGAUCCACCUGAAAAAAGCGUGUCUCUGUGAGCCUGUAGCUGUUGUUCCUGCCAUUUACCGUGGCUUUCUCACGCCCAGUGAACGUUUAAGAGAAGAAGCUGCCCUGAGCCAAAGCAGAAGAACCACCACGCUGCUGGAGGAGCCUCCAAAUUCACACAGCCCCCUGGGAAUUCCAAGGGGUUUUGGAAAACCUGCUUCUUCCAUCUUGAGAUGGGAAAACAGGCACAUAUUGUGGUGAGCAGCUCCUGUCACCCCCUCCCGAAGGAAGGACGAGACACCAACGCUCCUGCUGCAAAGGUUUGGAGUGGAGGGAGUGGGAUGAGCCUCAGAUAACAGUUUUUCUAAAGCAGAACAAGCCUCCUUCUCUCCCCUCUUCUCCACCGAGAUUCAAAGCCCUGGUGGCUGCUUCAAAUACUAAUUAUGAGUUACACUCAGCCAUGAAGGGAACAGAACAACAACUGCCGUGUGACUUAUGAGAAUAAUCACAUUUUGCUGCUCCAGCCCGAGUGUGGAUUGCUGAAUACUGAUGGGCUGUGACAAUUUCUUGUCUGUGGUUCAAAGAAAAGGAGAGAAAAGCUGUAAAUACAAAGAAAAGAGAGAAAAAAAAAUAGAAGA